rnacentral:rRNA from 1 species
CCUACGGGAGGUAGCAGUGAGGAAUAUUGGUCAAUGGGCGCGAGCCUGAACCAGCCAAGUCGCGUGAGGGAGGACGGCCCUACGGGUUGUAAACCUCUUUUGCCGGGGAGCAACGGCCGCCACGUGUGCCGUCACUGAGAGUACCCGGAGAAAAAGCAUCGGCUAACUCCGUGCCAGCAGCCGCGGUAAUACGGAGGAUGCGAGCGUUAUCCGGAUUUAUUGGGUUUAAGGGGUGCGUAGGCGGAUCGUUAAGUCAGUGGUCAACGUGGGGGGCUCAACCCCUGCCCGCCAUUGAAACUGGCGUUCUUGAGUGGAAGAGAGGUAUGCGGAAUGCGUGGUGUAGCGGUGAAAUGCAUAGAUAUCACGCAGAACCCCGAUGGCGAAGGCAGCAUGCCGGCUUCCGACUGACGCUGAAGCACGAAAGCGUGGGGAUCGAACAGGAUUAGAUACCCUUGUAGUC